CCAGUCAGACACCUAGAGGGGAAACAUCCUUGUCAGGUGUUGGCUAUAACAGGGGCUAUAACAGGGGUGAUACAGUUUCUGGUCAGGUGUUGGGCUAUAACAGGGGCUAUAACACGGGUGAUACAGUUUCUGGUCAGGUGUUGGGCUAUAACAGGGGCUAUAACACGGGUGAUACAGUUUAUCUGGUCAGGUGCUGGGCUGUAACAGGGGCUAUAACACGGGUGAUACAGUAUAUCUGGUCAGGUGUUGGGCUAUAACAGGGGCUAUAACACGGGUGAUACAGUUUAUCUGGUCAGGUGCUGGGCUGUAACAGGGGCUAUAACAGGGGUGAUACAGUAUAUCUGGUCAGGUGCUGGGCUAUAACAGGGGCUAUAACAGGGGUGAUACAGUUUAUCUGGUCAGGUGUUGGGCUAUAACAGGGGCUAUAACAGGGGUGAUACAGUUUAUCUGGUCAGGUGUUGGGCUAUAACAGGGGCUAUAACAGGGGUGAUACAGUUUAUCUGGUCAGGUGUUGGGCUAUAACAGGGGCUAUAACAGGGGUGAUACAGUAUAUCUGGUCAGGUGUUGGGCUAUAACAGGGG
rnacentral:lncRNA from 1 species